rnacentral:rRNA from 1 species
UUUCUGCUCAGAUUGAACGCUGGCGGCGUGCUUAACACAUGCAAGUCGAGCGAGAAAGUUCUCUUCGGAGAAUGAGUAGAGCGGCGCACGGGUGAGUAACGCGUGGAUAAUCUACCCUGAAGAUCGGGAUAACAGUUGGAAACGACUGCUAAUACCGGAUAUCCUGCAUAUUUAGCUUUAUGUGGUAAAGGCGGCCUCUAUUUAUAAGCUGCCGCUUUGGGAUGAGUCCGCGUCUCAUUAGCUUGUUGGUGGGGUAAUGGCCUACCAAGGCAACGAUGAGUAGCUGGUCUGAGAGGAUGAUCAGCCACACUGGGACUGAAACACGGCCCAGACUCCUACGGGAGGCAGCAGUGGGGAAUAUUGCGCAAUGGGGGAAACCCUGACGCAGCGACGCCGCGUGCGGGAAGAAGGCCUUCGGGUCGUAAACCGCUGUCAGGAGGGAAGAAACUGUUAGGGUAUAAUACGCCCUUUCACUGACGGUACCUCCAAAGGAAGCACCGGCUAACUCCGUGCCAGCAGCCGCGGUAAUACGGAGGGUGCGAGCGUUAAUCGGAAUCACUGGGCGUAAAGCGCACGUAGGCGGCGCAUCAAGUCAGGCGUGAAAGCCCUCGGCUCAACCGAGGAAUUGCGCUUGAAACUGGUGUGCUGGAGUCUCGGAGAGGUUGGCGGAAUUCCAGGUGUAGGAGUGAAAUCCGUAGAUAUCUGGAGGAACACCGGUGGCGAAGGCGGCCAACUGGACGAGUACUGACGCUGAGGUGCGAAAGCGUGGGGAGCAAACAGGAUUAGAUACCCUGGUAGUCCACGCUGUAAACGAUGGAUAUUAGGUGUCGGGGGUUACCUUCGGUGCCGCAGUUAACGCGUUAAAUUCCCG